rnacentral:rRNA from 1 species
AGGGUGUAAACGCUGCAGACUUGGUGUUGGAGGCCCUUUGGGGGCAUUCAGUGCCGGAGAGAAGUUGUUAAGUCUGCUACUUGGGGAGUACGUCCGCAAGGAUGAACUUAAAGGAAUUGGCGGGGGAGCACCGCAACGGGAGGAGCGUGCGGUUUAAUUGGAUUCAACACCGUAAAACUCACCAGGGAAGACUGUUACAUGAAGGCCGAGAUGAAGACUCUGCUAGAUUUUCAGAGAGGAGGUGCAUGGCGUCAGUGACU